GACGAACGCUGGCGGCGUGCUUAACACAUGCAAGUCGAACGGAAAGGCCCUGCUUUUGUGGGGUGCUCGAGUGGCGAACGGGUGAGUAACACGUGAGUAACCUGCCCUUGACUUUGGGAUAACUUCAGGAAACUGGGGCUAAUACCGGAUAGGAGCUCCUGCUGCAUGGUGGGGGUUGGAAAGUUUCGGCGGUUGGGGAUGGACUCGCGGCUUAUCAGCUUGUUGGUGGGGUAGUGGCUUACCAAGGCUUUGACGGGUAGCCGGCCUGAGAGGGUGACCGGCGUCAGGGGGAAGGCGGUACGGCGGGGGGGAGGCGGGGGGGAGGCAGAGCGGGGGGGUGCGGCAGGGUGGGAGGCAGACUGCCGCGUCCGCGGGUGACGGAUGGGGGUCUAAGGAAGGUGAACCGGAGGCGCCUGUGACGGAGCGGAAGGGACCGUAAGGAGUAAAGAAGCACCGCAUAAAUUCAUG
rnacentral:rRNA from 1 species